UCACAACUAGUGUAAUUUGUAAUACUAGUAUAGUUACCAUCUAAGACUAACCAAACACUACAAUGGUGGUUUUAACUUGCAUAGAAUCUGGUAAGCCUUUGGUUCUCUUGAGCAAUGACUGGGUAGCAACUGGAUUUCACAUAAAAAAUGAAGCUGACGACGACGACGACGAUGAUGGCGGUAUCGAUCUAGCUCCCGCCGCAUAAUAAAUUUGUCAAUGUUUGUUGCAAAGAAUGAGGAGUACUUGAAGUUGUGUGAUGAGUGUAUGCUUCAUCAUAUAAGCAAGCAUAUACGAGAUGAGCUAUUUAUCUAUAGUAAAUAAUUUAUAUAUAUCUUUGAAGCUUCUAUAGACUUGCUCACCAUAUACUAUAUGGAUGGAGAAUAAAGUGUGUGUACUGUUUAUAUGGUUUUGCACUUUUGCAUACUAAUAUCAGUUUGUGACUGAUAUUUAUUAUAUUAGAGUAUAGAUAAUAUUUAAAGUUUUAAUACUGAUCUCCUUCACUCGUUAUGCCAUUAAUAUAUAACAUAUUGGCGGUUCAAAAGAAAGUUUUUAUAUUUUAUUUUUCUUAUAGUUAUCAUAAGGAUUUCCUUUCCUUAAUUUAGUUUGUCAACCUUUUCUUUGACUAAAUAAUUUAGUCAAUAUAUAUAUGAA
rnacentral:lncRNA from 1 species